UCUGGAAAUGGUUUCUCAGGAGAUUCUACUUGGAAUCUCCACUAUCCCAUCUAUUCAAUAGUUGGGGCUGAACCUUCUUAGUCUGGCUGCUUAGUCCUAUGUUGUGCCCGGCUACUGGAUAGUUUCAAGGUGGGACAAAAGGGAGAAGAAAAUGAGUUGGGCUUAGUUGAGUCACACACAGGGAUGUGGGACCAGCAACCCGUAGCCACCCUUCCGAAAAUCCAUGGUUAAUAACUAGAGAUAUAAAAUCACAGCUCAAAUGAAUAAGGUUAAGAUCCACCACACUUCAUCAGAUAAUCCUGGCUUUACUAGGGAUGGUAAAAGUAAUCUGUAAUAGUAUCCACUGGUCCAUACAAUGACAGAGUGAGGAGAUAAAGCUGCUUGUCUCUAAGCACACUGUACCAACUAAACCUCACACAAAUGAGAAGCCUUCUUGCCCACAGAAUUAAGGAGAGAGCACAUAUGGUCUCUAGUAAGUGGAAAUCAAGGUAUCACUUUCUGUCUGCAACACCCUCUCCCCUUCCCCCAUGAAGCAUCUCCUAGAAAAGUAAACAGUAGUCUAUGGUCUACUGCACGAGCUCAAAGCAGCUGGCCAUCAGCUAACAAGGCUAGGGCAUGAGCUUCCUGGUGGAGAAAAAACUAAAAAUGCAUGAAGAAGAGGAAAUGAACGAAAGGAUGCUUACCAGGCUGUGGAUCAGUCAUGUUAGCCUGACUGUCAAAAAGUAACCGGGGAGGUAGAUAAUUGAGUAAAUAAAUCCAUCAAAUGUGUGUAACAGAGACUUUAAACAAUGAUCAAUCCACCCUGAUUAUUGGCUCCAGAAUUUCUUCUCUAUACGGAGACCGAAGACAGAAUGUGUUUCAAGAGAGUCACGAGGGACUCUCUUGAAGCCUUUUUUGUAUAGCUGUCACCUUUCACUUGCAUGGGGUAUCUUCUUGAAAUGUUCCUGGAGGGAAAUUUUGGUAGUGUGGCCAUUAGCUGAUUCCGUCAUGUAAGUGUCCUCGCUGUUAGAAGACAAGGGGAAGGGAGCCCUGUCCGCUCAUUACCAGUCCACUCAUGGAGUGUUAUUCUAGCACCUGUUUAAAUUCUAGCACCUAUUCUAGCACAGGCUAUUUUUUCCUUCAAUUUUUUCUCUUACCCAUCUAAAGGGAUAUUGUCUGUGUUAUAGAGUCUUAAUUAGUGCCUCUUAGCUGGCUUUAUGCUCUUACUUCCUUUGUGUUUUUUUUUUCUACCCAAUUUGCUCUGUUGUGACAUGGUAAUACAUGACAAAAAAAGGUAAACAAUAAAAUAGAUGUAGACGGUCACAUUAGUUCUCAGAUUUAGUCCAGUUUUGCUUUGAGGGGCUUGAGAUAGGAACGUAGCCUGCUGCAUUGAGCACUGAUUGUCUGGCAUCACAGAAAUCUUCCUGGGCAGAACACACAUCUACUUGAAAUCAAAGGAGAGUAGAAGGACCAUACACUUGCUGCAAAGAUAAUACAGUGUAGUUAUCCAGGGCUCAGAAGUGGACUUUCAUCAGGGAUCCCUAUCAUGGCAUCAGGAAAGGGAUAAAGGAAUAAGGAAAAUUCACCAAAAUCAGUCAGUUUAAAGUACAAACACAUGUGUGUUCUUGAACCAUACCCAAAGAAGAAAAGUAAAAGUUGCCCACAAAAUAAUCACUAAGAUUUUAAUUGUAGCAUUAUAUGGAGCACUGAAAAUGUCAGUCUUAUCAAGUUGGGGAGAGUGCCUAAAGAUAGAUGAAAUGCAUUCAGAUUCGUCAACAAAGCAGCAGGACAAACAGCUCUGGGUCCUUUUACCUUUGAAUGUAAAUUGAUCAGUUGCCUCGAAGAUGUGUAGAGAACAUGUAUUAAGAACCAACAAUAGUUGAUUUUUGGUUUUGUUGUUACAAUUGAAUAUGGAAUUUCUACUAUUAGGUUAAGAUGCCACAAAGUCCACAUCACCUUCUGGAAACAUCAAUCUAAAGGCCACCAGUGCAACAUCCCAUGUAUUUAGACCCCACAAACACCAAUGUUUAUGCACCAUUUCAUGACUAUUUCAUUUAAAAAUUUUGAGAGACAGGAAGUGGGGAAAUAUCUUACAAUAAUGUUCUGGUAUCACACACACACACACACACACACACACACACACACACACACCUAUCUACUUUUACUAUAUUACUGUUAGUUUGUGGGGAGAAUGUAAACAUUAAUGAGAUUGUUUUAAAUGAGAUCAGAUGUUUUUCCUGUGUUGGGAAUCAAGCUCAUAGCCUUGCACAUGCUAGGGAGGGGGUUUGUCAUUGAGCUGCACUCCAGCCUGAGAGCAGAUCUUAAAUAUCAAGGCUACAAUGUCAACGUAGACUCAGAGAAACUCUUCUUUUGCCCAGAAGCAGCAGGAGCAGUGUUUGGCUCCCAUCCUUCUCUGCAAGUAAACCCACUUCUCCCAGUCACAGAGACUGGGCACUGACGCGUUCUCACCUCUAUUUUCAAUGCAUGAUUUUGCUACUUCAUUUCUUCAUCCUUAACUAUACCAGAACGCUUGCCUGAUUCAUAUAUUUUUUUGCCUGAUUCAUAUCUUAAGGGAACAAGAGAUAAUUAAAUAAGAUUAAAGAUGUAGAGAUUCCAUAAAGCAAUAGAUGACAUAUGCAUGCACUAAAAAUUAGCACAAUCAUAACACCGUUUUGAACAAAAGUAAAUAGAUACGUUACUAGCUGCACACAUUGAUCGACGUGUUGGGGUUUGGAUUAACUACAUGCGAUAAUUUAAUUGGGGCUUGACUUUUGUUAUGAACAAAUGCACUUAGGUAUAAUAGAUAUGGCAGGGGCAUGCAAACUCUCAUCCGACAAUUCCUUAUCAUCAAUAUUACAAAUUGCUUCUGAAAUUUGCAGCAUCAAAUCCGAUAUCGUAAAAGGCUAAUUAGAAAGAUAGUGCACCAAAAAUAAAACAAUCGAUUAGCAUAUUUUAGAACCAAUGCUUCAUGCCAUGAAUUUUAAAUGUUAACAUAAAGUGAUUUCUAUCUAAGUUGAUGUUGCUAAGUUACACCCAGCUGUCUCUGAGAGGAGAAAAGGAGCAUCUUUCUGAACUGACUAUUGGUUCAAAUCCCAGAUCCCUUGCACCCUGGACUUCAUUUUCCUAACCUUGGCAAUGAGGAUCCUAACUAUUAUUCCAUCAUACGUUGUCAUGGACACUUGAGAAUUUAGAUGUCCAGCUAGUAUAGAUCGAGUGUAGGACUUCUCACUAUGGGCAGCCAUAAUACAGUGACUAAUCAAAGCGUUGUGGAAAUUUCAACACACUUGGUCCAGGGGGUGGAACCAUUAGGAGGUGUGGCCUUGCUGGAGUAGGUGUGGCCUUGUUGGAGUAAGUGUGUUGAAGUAAGAAGGCUUUGAGUGAGCUUCCUCCUAGCUGCCUGAGGAUGCCAGUCUUCCCCUGUUUGCCUUUGGAACAAGAUGUAGAACUCUCAGCUCCUUCUACAACACUGUGUCUGCUGGGGCACCGCCAUACUUCCUGCUACGACAAUAAUGGACUGAACCUCUGAACCACACAUCUGUUGGAACCCACUACUACAGAGAAGACCAGCUCAAAUGACUAGCCUCGUGGGAUUGAGCAACUACUGGAUUCUUGGACUUCCCCUCCACAGCUGCCCAUUGUUGGGUUAGUUGGACCACAGACUGUAAGUCAUCACAAUCAAUUCCCUCAAUACACAGAGACAUUCCAUAAGUUCCGUGACUCUAGAGAACCCUGACUAAUACACCGGGUCCUGACACCAAGAGUUCCAUAGAUGUGGAACAAGGAAUAGACAGAUGGAUGACAACAGAAGUCCAGAGGACAUGUCUAUCUGUAGAUGAAACUUAGCCAUGAAUAGCUGACAAGGGACUCAGCUAACGACUGAGGUAAGCGAAACCCAGCACCACCAAACAAAACUUCCAUCAAUGAUUUAAACCAAAAUUCUCCCAUUUAUCACAUAGGUGAUUUCCUCUAUCUUGCCUCUGCUUUCAGUUGGAGCUCUCUGUGAACAUUUAUUUGUUUUACUCCCAAUAUCCUGCCAGAGCAUUAAACACAUUUUCAGUACUGCCUUCUUGGCUGAGCUGAGUUCUUACUUUUAAGUAAGCCAGAGCCAUGUAUGAUACUGCACUUUUAAUCCCUGCAUUUAGGAGAGGUGAGGCAGGAGGCUCAAGAGUUCAAGCCCAGCUUCAGUUAAGAGGGAGACUGUUUCCAAAAAUGCAAGCAUGCAUGCAACAUGGUGAAGAAAGAAGUCAGUCUGAUUAGCUCGCUCCCUUGUUUAAAACUAAUUAAUGCAGCUCUUUCGCUAUAAAGGACUUUAUGCUCCUGUCAAGGUAGAAACAGCCAUUCAUCCACCCUGCCUCCUUUCAAAGGCAGGACUGUCAUUUUAUUCCCCCAAAUAAAAGUUUCCUUUCUGACAUAGUGAACUCUUUCUAAUAAUGCUCAAAGUGUCUUUUCUCCUGGAGCCUAUUUUCUUUAAUAGCUACACUGUUAACAUUUCUUCUUUAUGCAGCUGAUUCCCUCAGCUCUGCGAAUGUUCAUUUACAGGAAAUGUUCAUUUAAAGAAAAUGUAGGCAGAGGCUUAAAUCUUAGCUACGGCCAUCCUGCCAUCCUCUAGUCUACUGAAACAGGCUGCCUCUGCCUCUGGCAGAACAGUUAUUUCACUGAGCUACAAAUGUUUUGAAGGAAAACACAAGUUAAAAAGACACAUUUUUUCAUAGUGCGGAAUCAAUGGGAUCUGUUUUUAACUGCUACAUUCUUUCAUUUCUAUUUAAAUACUGAAUCUAUUUGAGACUCUCUCUCUCUCUUUCUCUCUCUCCCCCACCUCCCUCCCUCUCUCCCUCUCCUUUCCUUCCCUCCUUCCCCUCGCCCCUGUGUGUGUGCAUGUGUGUAUGUGUGAGUGUAUGUGUGUGUGUAUGUGUGUAUGUGUGUAUGUGUGUGUGUGUGUGUGCGUGUGUGUCUAUGUUCCUGUUAACAUGAUAAGUGCUCUCCAACCGAGCUACAUCACUAUCCUAAUUACCUUUAACUGGCAGCUUGACCUAGCCUAGAGUCAUCUGAGAGGAAAUUACCUACGUCGGAUCGGCCUUUAGACAUAUCUGUAUAUCCGUGGAAGAUGUUCUUGAUUGGUUAAUGCAGGAUGAACUAUAUAGGAAAUGUAAGAAAGUGAGCUGAGUCUGAGCCUGAGUUAGCCAGACAGUGAGCUAGCAAGCAGCCUUUCUCCAUCGUUCCUGCUUCAGUCAGUGCCCGCUCUGACUUCUCUCAAUGAUGAGCUGAUACUUGGCAAUGAAAGCCAAGAAAACCCUUUCCUCCUCUUAAGUUGCUUUUUGGUCAAAAUGUUUUCUUAGAAAGGAAACUAAGUCACCAGCCUUCUAGACACUUUUGAAGCAACUAUCAACAUGAUUAUUUUCUCAAUUUCGUUUUUUUUUUUUUUUUUGGAAUAUGCAUUGCUACUACAGACUAACAGAAGUAAUUUUAAGUGUUGAUUUUGUUUUUUUUGAAAGUUCACAGAAUGAAUUUAUUACUUUUAAUGGUUUAAAGGUAGAUUCCUUGGGUUUUGUGCAUAUAAGGCCAUUUCAUCUGCACACAGAUAACUUACUUCUCCGAUUUUGGUGUCUCUUGCUUAUUUCUCUUGCCUCAUUUGCCUAGGACUUUCAGCAUAUGUUGGGGAAGUGAGGACAAUGGAAUUCCUGGUUUUUUCUUACCUCCAAAGAAAGCUUUCAGUUUGAUUUUUCAAAACUAUUGAGUAUGAUAUGAUUGCUGGUGUUUUCAUAUCUAAGUAUUUUUCUUAUUUUCCCUGUUUGCUAACUAUUUUUCAGACAUCCUAAAGGAUACUGAAUUUUUUCAGCUGCUUUUUCUGUAUCUGAAAUGACUAUGAGUUGUAUCCCUCUCUCUGUUAAUGUGCAUUGUGCUGAAUUAUUUACAUAUGUGUCAAAUCCUCUUGGCAUCCUGGGUAUAAAUUUCAAAUCAAUUUGAAAGGUAUAUGAAACUUUCAAAGUACUGCUGUGUUUGGUUUUUGGGUUCUUGGAAAUAGCUUAAUAAAGGAGAAAGAAAAUUUAUGUGCUGCAAAUUAUGUCACUGUAAGAAAAUUUCAAAAGACACAAAUAAAUGGAAAGACAUCUUUUAUUUGUGAGCAAAAGACUAAACAUAGUUUUUAAAUUGAAUAAUUAAUUAUUAAUUAAUUAAAUUUACAUUUAAUUAAAUUCACAUGAUAAGCAAGUGCUCUACAACUGAGCUACAUCACUAGCUGGCCUAAUUACUUUUAACUGGCAGCUUGACCUAGGCCAGAGUCAUCUGAGAGGGUGCAGUUUCUGCUCCCUCCUCUACUCCUAGGCCUUUCCUCCCCUUCCCCUCCCGUCCCUUCCCCUCCCCUUCCCUCCCCUGCCCUUCCCACUCCUCUUCUGUUUCUCUUCAGGAAAUUGGAGCCCUCCCCUUUUCUGGAAACUAAAUAUUGUUAAAAACCAUAGUAAUCAAAGAUGUCUACAGAUUUAGUACAAAUAAAAAGAGUUCUCUUAGAUGUAAUAAGGAACUAUGAAAAGCACCUACUAGCUUAAGCAAUAUUGGAACAGAACAGAGCUAAAGGCAUCACAUUUCUUUAUUAAAACAUACCUGAAAUCUAUAGCAAUCCAAAUAGUAUGAUGCCAGUAAAUAAAGAAAGGAACUGGACACUUAGACCAAUGGAAUAAAAAAGAUAACCUAGCAGCACAAGUUUGAUUUGCUGGAUUAUUUAUAAAUAAACAUAUCUGCAUGUAACAACUGUUAAUGAAAAAAGAGGCUAUGAGUUUGAAAGAGAGCAAAGAGGGUUACACAGGAGGGUUUGCAAAGAGGAAGGGUAUGGAGUAAAUGAUGUAAUUAUAUUAUAAUCUCUGUAGUGGUGUGAAUAGGUUUGGCCCCCAUACAUUCAUGUUUUUUAAUGCUUGGCCCACAGGGAGUGACACUAUUAGUAGGUGUGCCCUUGUUAGAAUAGGUGUGGCUUUGUUGGAGGAAAUGUGUCACUGUGGGGUGGGCUUUGAAGGCUCCUAGUGCUCAAGUUACACCCAGUGUGGAAGGGAUCCUUGUUUAGAUGCUUGAGGCUACUCCUGGCUGCCUUCCUAUCAAGAUGGGGAACUCUUCUCUCUUUGUCCAGCAUUGUGCCUGCCUGCAUGCUGACAGCAUUCCUGCCCUGUUGAUAAUGGACUGAACAGAUAAAACUGUAAGCCAGCCCCAAUGAAAUGUUCACCUUUAUAAGAGUUGCCUUGGUCAUCGUGUCUCUUCACAGCAGUGGAAACCCUAAGACAAUCUCAUAAAUGAAUGAAUAAAUAAAUAAAUAAAUAUUGGACGUGAAGGAGUACUAUGAAGGUGAGGUAGAUCUAGGAGGAGUCAGGGGAGAAGUGAUGGUGAAUAUGAUCAAAAUACAUUGAAUAAAAUUAUCAAAGAGGGAAGAGGAUGGAGGUAAAUUAACAAUAAGGAUAUCUGAAAAGGUUAUAAGGAAUCAUUCUAUUAACCACAAAUGUAAAUAAAAACUUAUAAAUAAAUAUAAGCAAUUAUAAAUAAAAAGUAUAAUAAGAAUAAUUGUGUGUAUAAAUAUUCAUAUGUAGUUUAAAUAAAAUCUUCUUAUCUGGGCUGACAAUGAUCAAGAGUCAAAGAUCACCUAACAAAAUCCUUCAAUUUCAGGAAUGAGAAACCUGCUUUUCGUUGUUGAUCUGGUGCAGUAACUGUUAGGGUGUAGCAAUGGCAUGGUUGGUGUAACCAAUAGCUCCCUAAUGGGACUUGAAAUCCACUCAACAAAAUGGAAACCAGGCUUCCUACUGAAAACCUAGCUAACUAUUCAGGGUUAGUGAACUCAUGGAUUGUGGAGGAGAACCCACAAACCAUCACUUUACUAAAUUAGCAUAAUCCACAGCUACACGGCUCCAAGAAAGUAUUACUUCAUGCUCGUCAGCACAGCUAGUAUGAAAGGAAAGAAGUGGGGGCUGGAGAGAGGACUCAGAGAUUAAGAGCCAUUCUGCCCUCACAGAGGACCUGGGUUCUGUUCCAGCAUUUAAACUGAGCAGCUCAGAAACACAUGUAACUCCAGCUCCAGGAGAUCCUACCCCCUCUUCUGGACUUCAUAGAUACAUGUAUGUGCAUCUCUCUCUCUCUCUCUCUCUCUCUCUCUCUCUGUCUGUCUCUCUCUCUGUCUCUCUCUCUCUCUCUGUGUUAAUAAAAUAAAUGCUUAGAAAGUAAACAUGUGUAUUAGUAAGGUAUUGACGGUGAGAUUGGACUUCAGUGCUCUGUUGAACGUAACAUAAAAUGGUGCAAUCCUAGGCCAGGGAUUAUAAAAGUCUUUCAAAAAGUAAAACCAGAGCUGACACAUGACUGAGUGACAUUACAUUUCAAUACUUUCAGAAAAGAGUUGAAAUCAGGAUCUCAAAGAGAUAUCCACAUUCUCAAGUGUACAUCUUUUAUAAUAGUCAAGACAGGAAAGUUUAAUGCUCAGUGACUGAUGAAUAAUCACACACACACACACACACACACACACACACACACACACUGUGUCAUUUCAUUCAGGCUGAAAACAAUGAAAUUGCUCCAUGUGCCACAGCACCAGUGAACCUUGAGUCCCAUGCUUAGUGAAACAAAACAGUCAUAGAGGGGCAAAUCCUGCAAAAGUGCACUGACACUAACCAUCAAAGUGACCAAGUUCAGAAGCAAAGGUGGAGUGGCAGGUUCCCAGGCUGUGGAGGGGACAGGUUGAUGUAUAUAAAGGAUUAGCUUGGCGGGCUGUAGAAACAUCAGUUCUGUGUGUACUUGACCAUAACUGGCGUUUGAUAAUGUGCUUUGCAUUCACACUUUUCUCAAGAAAGCAGAGCUCAUGUUAUCUAUUGCAGGCUUUACAUUUUAGCUAUUAAAAAGAAAUAUCCUUAUACUCUAAAGUCUUUCAGUGAGAAGGAAACAAAGUAAAAGGCAUAGAAAACUAGAUAACACAGACCGAGAACAUUUAUCUCCGUCUCCUAAACAACUCAUGAAUCAAUCAUGACAGAAACCAAUAAUUCAUUGUGGGCUACAUUGUCACAGAAGGUGAAUCACUUAUGUGAAAAACCAAUUCCAGCGGCAAAGAAAAAAAAGCAUGAGAAUUUGUAACAAAUCUUCCUUAUGGCCUACCCAUCCAACGCACUCACUAUCAUCUAAUGGCUUGUUAACCUUGCAUGGCCAUUCUACUGUGUAAUCGCAUAGGCUCGCAAGGCAGAUGAGGGAGAGAAGCAAAUGGAUCCAAACCAAUUCUGCCUCUUCUGAUGGGAAAACUAUCCCCAUCUUGUGAUGUGCUCAGAAAUUCUUGGCAACUUUCCUGUAAACAAAAUGCAUUCACAGCCAAGGUCUUACUGUAGGUGUCAAUCCAACCUCACCGCUUCACCCUACAUUUAGCAAGUAGUUUACAGAAGAAAAGGGUGUGGAAUGUGAUAACCGGAUAUCAAAACUAUUACCAAUAACAAGAAGUUUUCACACUGUUUUGUUCUAUGGAGAAAAAUUGUACACAAAACAGAUUAUGUAUAAUAAAGAUAGAUACAUGUGAUAGUCAAUGUGUAUUUAUCACUUAGCAAAGAAACAAAUGCUAUGCUAAGAGUUUGGGAUGUUUCAUAUGUCUUUGGUGCUUCCAAAAACAUUUACACAUAUAAGCAUUUCAUCAUCCUAAUUUAAUCACUAUAGGAAAGUAAAAAGUGAAAUAAAGUCACAGAAACAGAGAAAACAAAAUCCUCCCUGGCCUCAGGAGGAAACAUGUCAGAGUCUCACAGUAAGCUAUUGUUUUAGUAUACUCCCUCUAAAAUUCCUGUCUGGGUUUCCUUUCAUAAAAAGAACCAUCAGUCACACUAGUGAAGCCUCCAGAAUUAAUUCAUCAACUAAUUUCUUUCCAAGAUUCUAUAAUAUAUGUUCGAAAGUGAAAUCCAAAAGCUCAGAGAGGUGAUAUCAGUUCUGCGAGGCACAGGUAAAAGAUGGACACACACUUCCCUCCACUAGAUUCUCAGCCUCAUCUCCAUUCUUGGGCAUCAGAGCCUCUGGGGCACAGGUCAUUCUUACAUGAUGAGUUUGACACAACUUUACAUAAAUGUUCCACAACUUUAGCCUCUGAAUUUGACUUUAAGGGCCUUUACAUGUUUGUGUUCUCCAGGGUCCUGGACUUGAUCUUCUGUCUCUAUUGAAUUGAUACACUUUCCUUGGUGUUUCAGGCAAGACCAUUUUGUUCCUAUCAACUGUAACAUUAAAAAAAUCCAACUAAA